CAGCCGCCGCGGGAAUACGUAGGGUGCAAGCGUUAAUCGGAAUUACUGGGCGUAAAGCGUGCGCAGGCGGUUUUGUAAGACAGAGGUGAAAUCCCCGGGCUCAACCUGGGAACUGCCUUUGUGACUGCAAGGCUAGAGUACGGCAGAGGGGGAUGGAAUUCCGCGUGUAGCAGUGAAAUGCGUAGAUAUGCGGAGGAACACCGAUGGCGAAGGCAAUCCCCUGGGCCUGUACUGACGCUCAUGCACGAAAGCGUGGGGAGCAAACAGGAUUAGAUACCCCGGUAGUCCCUGUCUCUUAUAC
rnacentral:rRNA from 1 species